CGGGCGGCGAGGCGGCGUGCUGGGGCGCGCCUAGGAGCGGUAGUCCUUCUUGCUGUAGGGUUUGUUGCCCAGGAUGCUGUCAAUCUCAUGGACAAUGGAAGACGACAGCUUGGGAAGGACCUGCACGGGAGCGCACUCAGAGCCGUGCGGGACGGCCCCGCAUCCCACUCUGUGCCCUCUGCUCAGCGUCGCCACGCAGCAGUUUUGACUCAUCUGCAGUGUGUGGCAGCACCGCGUGGCCGUACUGCUGCACGUCUCACCUGUAUGGCUCCGAUGUUCUCCAUCAGCUGAUCGGCAUUGGAGGCUCCCAGCAGCACGGAGCUGACGCCCUCGUUGCGCAGGCACCACGCUGGGGAUGCGUGCAGAGCUGAGCAGGGCCCGGCCGCUGCCCCCCACCAUCCCCUCCCGUACCCCCUUACCGAUGGCGAGCUGCGGCAGCGUGCAGCCCAGGCGCUCGGCGAUGGCUUGCAGCUCCUUCAGCUUGGCCUGCUGCCGCCGGCCCUCCUCACUCAGGAUCUUGUCCUUCAGCCACUGGUACCCCUGGGAUGGGAGAGCAGUGAGCAGGAGGCUCCAAGGAGCCCCGAGACCCCUGCUCUACGUAUCUCCCCACGGUGCUCACCUUCAGUGAUGCUCUUGAGUACGGAGGAAUGCCACCAUCAUACUUCCCUGAGACGAUGCCGCACGCCAGCGGGGACCAUGUCAUGGCACCGACACCUGGGGCGAGCAGAGCAGAGAGUGACCUGGCCACUUUGCACGCUGCCUUCAGCCUGGGGUUGGGCAGCACUUGGGUGCAAGGGCCAGCUUGGAGGACAGGGGGGGGCAGCAGGGAAACCAGCCUGGGGAGCCAGGAUGAGCAGCAUAUCCAGGCAUGGGGCACAGCAGCCAGGGAGCAGCUCAUGUGCUCCUGCACUGUUGGCUGCGGGACAGAGGGGGUCCUGGGGCCGGUACCUAUCUUGUGGAAGAGCUCAGGCAGCUGCACCUCCACCUUCUCCCGCUGGAACAUGUGGUACUCGGCCUGCUCGCAGAUCGGUGGGAUCAGGUUGAACUGCCGUGCCACUGAGUACGCCUCCUGCAACCCGGAUUGGCACCAUCAGCACACACCAACCCCGCUGCCAUGGGGCAGGGAUGUGGGCUCCGGGACCCCUCUACCACCCACACGUGGUCCCUACCAUGAUCUCCAUGGAGCUCCAGCGUGACGUGCCCCAGUACAUGGCCAUCCCCUGGUUGAUGACGUGGGUCAUGGCGCGCACCGUCUCUGCCGGAGGAAGGGAGAGCAGCAGGCGGGCAUUAGGGCACAGGGAUGGGGUUGGGCCGUGCACAUCUUGCAAGCAGUGUACAUCCAAAUGCCACACGGUGUGGAAAUUAAAAGGGAAUGGAAAUUGA